UCAUUUUAAAAAACCAAAUAGCAUUUAAUUUCGACCAUUUACGCGCCGUAACGAAAGCGAUGGCGCUAUCCACCGACGCAUCACCACCACCUUCCUUAGGAGAAGAACCGUUACCUCACGACGGCGACGGUUACGACCUUAACGAUGAUGAUAGUGCUUCGUUCGGCGUCGUUUCACUGGACGACGAGAGUUUUCCGUCGCAACUCCCAGGAUCGGAAACGCCGUCGGAAAAGAGCAGUUUCACCGCUGAUUUCUAUCGUUGCGGAACCGAUUGGUCCUCGCUGAUGAUGCAGGAUGAUAAAAAUAAUAGACACUCCGAUUUCGAGGGCGAUUCAGGGAAGAAGAUGAAGCAGGCCAACCUGUUCCAGAUUUGGGGUUUCAAAAGAAGCGACGUCGUUGGUUUAGUUGAAUCUGGACCGAGUUUGAGUGUUUAUUCUGAUAAAGGAGGUAGUUCUUCUGAAAGGAAGAUUGUGAAACCUGGAAAUUGGGGUUCGAUUUCGCGCGACGGAGAAAAAGAGUCCGAGGACACGAAAUCUCUCCGCAAGAGAAAGUGUUUCAGUGGUGAAAAUAGGGUUACACGUUCAUGUCCCUUUUAUAAGAAAAUCCCAGGGACAACAUUCACUGUUGAUGCUUUUCGGUAUGGGUCUCUUGAAGGGUGUUCAGCGUAUUUUCUUAGUCAUUUCCAUUGCGAUCACUAUGGUGGCCUUAGCAAGAAAUGGUCUCAUGGCCCUAUCUAUUGCUCUCCUCUCACGGGACGGCUUGUUCAAAUGUGUCUAUCGGUAAAUCCUUUGUAUAUCCACCCUUUGGAAUUUAAUACGGAACAUGUGAUUGAUGGUGUCAAAGUGACUUUUUUAGAAGCUAAUCAUUGCCCUGGUGCGGCUUUGAUUCACUUUAGCCUCCCAAAUGACCAACGUUAUUUGCACACUGGGGACUUUAGAGCGUGUAAACCAAUGCAAGCUUACCGUCUUCUUGUAAAUCAACGUGUAAAUGUACUUUAUUUGGAUACUACAUAUUGCAAUCCAAAGUACAGGUUCCCUUCCAAGGAAGAUGUACUAAAUUAUGUUGUCAAAAUUACAAAGAACCAUCUCAAAAUUCAUCAGAGAACUUUAGUGGUCGUUGGGGCUUACAGUAUUGGCAAAGAAUGUGUAUAUCUUGCAAUUUCUAAAGCUCUUGGGGUAAAAAUUUAUGCCAAUGCUUCAAGAAGACGGAUUUUACAAGCUUUUGAUUGGUCCGACCUUUCAGAUAGACUCUGUACAAUAGGAAAGAACACGCUUCUCCAUGUCCUGCCCAUGUCAUCUUUGAGACCUGAGACCUUAAAAGAUUACUUGAAGACAUACAAGGAUCAAUUCACAGAAGUUUUGGCGUUCCGUCCAACAGGUUGGACUUUCAAUGAAAAGAUAAGCAACGAUCUGGAACUAAUUAAACCUGUUACCAAAGGAAAUAUCACGAUUUAUGGAGUUCCCUACAGUGAGCAUUCCAGCUAUACAGAACUGCGAGAUUUUGUUCAGUUUUUGAGACCUGACAAGAUCAUUCCAACUGUGAAUGUUGGGAAUGCUGCUAAUCGAGAAAAGAUGCAAUCCUAUUUCCGAGACUGGCUGAGGUGCUGAAGUCUCUUAUUCACUGCUAUUUCUAGAUGGGAUUUAAGUAUUUAUUUCAGGUCUCUACAUUUAUUGCUGCUUGUAGAAGUUUAAGCUCCGGUGUACUUCCCAUUUAUUGCUGCUACUAAAUUUGGAUGCAAUGCAGGGCAUUCAUCAACUUUAUGACAACCAAAGUAGGACCAGAAUAAAAUGAGAUGCCAUACAUUCUGAUAUUUUCUGAAGAGUACUUUAGCAAUGCCCAAUUUGAACAUUGUUGAACAAAUACAAAAGAAGUAAAUGUUGUAUCUCUAUGCGGUUGGAUUGACUAGUAUAACUUUCGCUAAAGCUGUGCAUGUGAUUGACCAAAUCUGAUUGUAUUUUGGGAAAUAAUCUACAUGUAGAUAUGAUUAAAAUAUAUUAGACAUUGUUAAAUAUAAUUUUGUGAUUA